GACGAACGCUGGCGGCGUGCUUAACACAUGCAAGUCGAACGGAAAGGCCCUGCUUUUGUGGGGUGCUCGAGUGGCGAACGGGUGAGUAACACGUGAGUAACCUGCCCUUGACUUUGGGAUAACUUCAGGAAACUGGGGCUAAUACCGGAUAGGAGCUCCUGCUGCAUGGUGGGGGUUGGAAAGUUUCGGCGGUUGGGGCUGGACUCGCGGUUUAUCAGCUUGUUGGUGGGGUAGUGGCUUACCAAGGCUUUGACGGGUAGCCGGCCUGAGAGGGUGACCGGCCACAUUGGGACUAAGAUACGGCCCAGACGCCUACGGGAGGAAGCAGUGGGGAACAUUGCGCAAUGGGCGGAAGCCUGAUGCAGCAACGCCGCGUGCGGGAUGACGGCCUUCGGGUUGUAAACCGCUUUCGCCUGUGACGAAGCGUGAGUGACGGUAAUGGGUAAAGAAGCACCGGCUAACUACGUG
rnacentral:rRNA from 1 species